rnacentral:misc_RNA from 1 species
GAUGAAGAAGUAGUGAAAUGCGAUAAGUAAUGUGAAUUGCAGAAUUCAGUGAAUCAUCGAAUCUUUGAACGCACAUUGCGCCCGCCAGUAUUCUGGCGGGCAUGCCUGUUCGAGCGUCAUUUCAACCAUCAAGCCCCCGGGCUUGUGUUGGGGACCUGCGGCUGCCGCAGGCCCUGAAAAGCAGUGGCGGGCUCGCUGUCACACCGAGCGUAGUAGCAUACAUCUCGCUCUGGGCGUGCUGCGGGUUCCGGCCGUUAAACUACCCUUUUAACCCAAGGUUGACCUCGGAUCAGGUAGGAAGACCCGCUGAACUUAAGCAUAUCAAUAAGCGGAGGA